AAACGGAGGAAAACAAACUAACAAGCUGAUUCCCCUAGUAGCGGCGAGCGAAGCGGGAAGAGCUCAAAUUUAUAAUCUGGCACCUUCGGUGUCCGAGUUGUAAUCUCUAGAAAUGUUUUCCGCGUUGGACCGCACACAAGUCUGUUGGAAUACAGCGGCAUAGUGGUGAGACCCCCGUAUAUGGUGCGGACGCCCAGCGCUUUGUGAUACAUUUUCGAAGAGUCGAGUUGUUUGGGAAUGCAGCUCAAAUUGGGUGGUAAAUUCCAUCUAAAGCUAAAUAUUGGCGAGAGACCGAUAGCGAACAAGUACCGUGAGGGAAAGAUGAAAAGCACUUUGGAAAGAGAGUUAACAGUACGUGAAAUUGUUGGAAGGGAAACGCUUGAAGUCAGACUUGCUUGCUGAGCAAUCGGUUUGCAGGCCAGCAUCAGUUUUCCGGGAUGGAUAAUGGUAGAGAGAAGGUAGCAGUUUCGGCUGUGUUAUAGCUCUCUGCUGGAUACAUCUUGGGGGACUGAGGAACGCAGUGUGCCUUUGGCGGGGGUUUCGACCUCUUCACACUUAGGAUGCUGGUGGACAUGGCUUUAAACGACCCGGGUCUUAACCC
rnacentral:rRNA from 1 species